rnacentral:rRNA from 1 species
GCCCGACGUACCAUCAUUCCUGGAAUGGUUGAUGGUUAAAAUGAUUCAUCGCCGUAGGAUGGGACUGCGACCUAUCAGCUUGUUGGUGGGGUAAUGGCCCACCAAGACUAUUACAGGUACGGGCUCUGAGAGGAGAAGCCCGGAGAUGGGUACUGAGACACGGACCCAGGCCCUAUGGGGCGCAGCAGGCGAGAAAACUUUGCAAUGUGCGAAAGCACGACAAGGUUAAUCCGAGUGGUUUCUGCUAAAGGAACCUUUUGUUAGUCCUAGAAACACUAACGAAUAAGGGGUGGGCAAGUUCUGGUGUCAGCCGCCGCGGUAAAACCAGCACCUCAAGUGGUCAGGAUGAUUAUUGGGCCUAAAGCAUCCGUAGCCGGCUCUGUAAGUUUUCGGUUAAAUCUGUACGCUCAACGUACAGGCUGCCGGGAAUACUGCAUAGCUAGGGAGUGGGAGAGGUAGACGGUACUCGGUAGGAAGGGGUAAAAUCCUUUGAUCUAUUGAUGACCACCUGUGGCGAAAGCGGUCUACCAGAACACGUCCGACGGGUGAGGGAUGAAAGCUGGGGGGAGCAAACCGGAUUAGAUACCCGGGUAGUCCCAGCUGUAAACUAUGCAAACUCAGUGAUGCAUUGGCUUGUGGCCAAUGCAGUGCUGCAGGGAAGCCGUUAAGUUGCCGCCUGGGAAGUACGUACGCAAGUAUGAAACUUAAUGAUCU